CCUUUUCUAGACUCCUCCCCCUCGCUUCCUAGCAGGCCUGUAGACCAGUCACUGCUGAUUACUUAAAUAGCGGCCUCCCUCGUGCCACGUCUCCCUUCACCUCGUGGGCUAUGCGGUCUACUGACCGCUCAGUCGGCCACCGUCGUCUGUCGGUUUCGAGCCGCUCAUCGUCUGCUGCCCUUAACCUGUUGUCUGCCGCCUGAGCUUGUCGUCUGCUGUCCGGGUUGCCAUCGACCGCUUUUCGGCUUUCCCGGCAGCCAUGGGUUGGCCGUCCCACUCGAGUUGGAAGUGGGAUCCUGACACUUGAGCGCUGUCGGUGGUGCCAGAUCUAACUCUUCCAGCUCAGCUCGAGCUCAAGUGGUCGGCCAUACAACAAAAGGAAGACGUUCCAUCAAGGGAGAAAUCGACUACAGUGUUCGACUCAAGCUGCACUCCCCAUGAAAAAAAGUGUGACAUUGUGAUAUCGGCUAGAUGAAUGCCGAUCUUGAACUUGGCGGAAACAAUGCGAACUUGUAAACAUGACUCCAUUGGUUGCCCCCCACCCCCCCCCCCAAAAAAAAAAACUGCUAAAAGCAUUGUGCAAGCUGGCAUUGAACACAGACGGUCCGUCGAUUGCGCAGUAUCGAUAAGUGAGCCAGAGGUGCGCUUAUUGUCACAAGAGGCGCCUGGCGCAGUGUCAAGAAAUGGCUGCGCAAUUUCUCGGCAUGGCGUUUUUCAUUCGUCUCGUGCUCGGACGAAAUAGUUUGUCUCAAAGACACUGUUGCAGUAGCAGUUGGUUUUGAUUUUGAGAAAUAACUAGAAACUGGUUACGGAGGUAGGUACAUGUUCUUUCAUGAACUUUGGAUCUGUAACGAGAGGAGGCACCAUUGAAAGGAGCGCAAAAUGUUGCUGUGGAAAUAAAAUGGAACUGAUGGGA